rnacentral:rRNA from 1 species
GACUCUCGGCAACGGAUAUCUCGGCUCACGCAUCGAUGAAGAACGUAGCAAAAUGCGAUACUUGGUGUGAAUUGCAGAAUCCCGUGAACCAUCGAGUUUUUGAACGCAAGUUGCGCCCGAAGCCAUCCGGUUCAGGGCACGCCUGCCUGGGCGUCACGC